UUGCUUCGCAGGCUGACUCUUAAUCAGCGGGUUGUAGGUUCGAUUCCUACACGAUCCACCA
rnacentral:tRNA from 1 species